UACGGAGGGGGCGAGCGUUAUUCGGAAUUACUGGGCGUAAAGCGCGCGUAGGCGGCUUUGUAAGUUAGAGGUGAAAGCCCGGGGCUCAACCCCGGAACUGCCUUUAAAACUGCAUCGCUUGAAUCCGGGAGAGGUGAGUGGAAUUCCGAGUGUAGAGGUGAAAUUCGUAGAUAUUCGGAAGAACACCAGUGGCGAAGGCGGCUCACUGGACCGGUAUUGACGCUGAGGUGCGAAAGCGUGGGGAGCAAACAGG
rnacentral:rRNA from 1 species